rnacentral:rRNA from 1 species
UAGUGAGUUUGAUCCUGGCUCAGGGUGAACGCUGGCGGCGUGCCUAAGACAUGCAAGUCGAACGCAGUAGCUUGCUACUGAGUGGCGCACGGGUGAGUAACACGUAACUGACCUACCCCGUAGUCCCGCACAACGGUCCGAAAGGACCGCUAAUUCGGGAUGUGAACCCGCACCGUGGUGCGUGUUUAAAGAUUCAUCGCUAUGGGAUGGGGUUGCGGCGCAUCAGCUCGUUGG